rnacentral:rRNA from 1 species
GAUGAACGCUGACAGAAUGCUUAACACAUGCAAGUCUACUUGAUCCUUCGGGUGAUGGUGGCGGACGGGUGAGUAACGCGUAAAGAACUUGCCCUGCAGUCUGGGACAACAUUUGGAAACGAAUGCUAAUACCGGAUAUUAUGUGAGUUUCGCAUGAAAUUCAUAUGAAAGCUAUAUGCGCUGCAGGAGAGCUUUGCGUCCUAUUAGCUAGUUGGUGAGGUAACGGCUCACCAAGGCGAUGAUAGGUAGCCGGCCUGAGAGGGUGAACGGCCACAAGGGGACUGAGACACGGCCCUUACUCCUACGGGAGGCAGCAGUGGGGAAUAUUGGGCAAUGGACCAAAAGUCUGAUCCAGCAAUUCUGUGUGCACGAUGAAGUUUUUCGGAAUGUAAAGUGCUUUCAGUUGGGACGAAGUAAGUGACGGUACCAACAGAAGAAGCGACGGCUAAAUACGUGCCAGCAGCCGCGGUAAUACGUAUGUCGCAAGCGUUAUCCGGAUUUAUUGGGCGUAAAGCGCGUCUAGGCGGUUUGGUAAGUCUGAUGUGAAAAUGCGGGGCUCAACUCCGUAUUGCGUUGGAAACUGCCAAACUAGAGUACUGGAGAGGUGGGCGGAACUACAAGUGUAGAGGUGAAAUUCGUAGAUAUUUGUAGGAAUGCCGAUGGGGAAGCCAGCCCACUGGACAGAUACUGACGCUAAAGCGCGAAAGCGUGGGUAGCAAACAGG